UGGGGAAUUUUGGACAAUGGGCGAAAGCCUGAUCCAGCAAUGCCGCGUGCAGGAUGAAGGCCUUCGGGUUGUAAACUGCUUUUGUACGGAACGAAACGGUCGCCUCUAAUAAAGGUGGCUAAUGACGGUACCGUAAGAAUAAGCACCGGCUAACUACGUGCCAGCAGCCGCGGUAAUACGUAGGGUGCGAGCGUUAAUCGGAAUUACUGGGCGUAAAGCGUGCGCAGGCGGUUAUAUAAGACAGAUGUGAAAUCCCCGGGCUCAACCUGGGACCUGCAUUUGUGACUGUAUAGCUAGAGUACGGUAGAGGGGGAUGGAAUUCCGCGUGUAGCAGUGAAAUGCGUAGAUAUGCGGAGGAACACCGAUGGCGAAGGCAAUCCCCUGGACCUGUACUGACGCUCAUGCACGAAAGCGUGGGGAGCAAACAGGAUUAGAUACCCUGGUAGUCCACGCCCUAAACGAUGUCAACUGGUUGUUGGGUCUUCACUGACUCAGUAACGAAGCUAACGCGUGAAGUUGACCGCCUGGGGAGUACGGCCGCAAGGUUG
rnacentral:rRNA from 1 species